CUCACUAUGGCUUAGUGGUGGAGCGUGCGAUUGCAAACGAACCUGAGCUCAGAGUAUCGCGAAGUCCCGUGUUCGAACCAUGGUAGCGUCU